CACGCUGUAAACGUUGUAUACUAGGUGUUAGUGGUUUAACCAUUAGUGCCGACGUUAACGCAUUAAGUAUACCGCCUGGGGAGUACGCCCGCAAGGGUGAAACUCAAAGGAAUUGACGGGGGCCCGCACAAGCGGUGGAGCAUGUGGUUUAAUUCGAUGCAACGCGAAGAACCUUACCAGCCCUUGACAUCCUGGGAACUUUGUAGAGAUACAUUGGUGCCUUCGGGAAUCCAGUGACAGGUGCUGCAUGGCUGUCGUCAGCUCGUGUCGUGAGAUGUUGGGUUAAGUCCCGCAACGAGCGCAACCCUUGUCCUUAGUUGCCAGCACGUAAUGGUGGGAACUCUAAGGAGACUGCUGGUGACAAACCG
rnacentral:rRNA from 1 species